rnacentral:lncRNA from 10 species
GGAAGAUACCCCGUGUCAAGAAGCUGACAGCACACACGUUUGGGAAGGAUUUAGUGGCUGAAGCACUUCUAGAAGACAUCACCAAAAUGAAACAGUCUACUAUCAGCAAAGAAUGCCAGAGCAAGAGUGUGAAACAGAGAGCACAGAGCCGUGAUGCUGCCCCCUGCCGGUGGUGCAGGAGAAAGGACGCAACCUCAGUCUACGACUCCUGCCAAGAUUAUCAGCCACGCUAGAAACUAAAGGGUGAAAACAGGGUUUCUCUGCUGCAAUUCCAUCUCUUCCUCUAGAAACUUGUCGUAGGAAUGACUCCCUGUAACUUCCCACACCUGCCUCUUCUUUCUGUAAGUGUUGGCUAACAGAAUCCCCUCCUUCCUCGGUCCUUGCUAAGUGACUGAAUUCAGAAACUCCUGGACAAUAUUACAACCAUCCGUAUUACU